rnacentral:rRNA from 1 species
UACGAAGGGGGCUAGCGUUGCUCGGAAUCACUGGGCGUAAAGGGUGCGUAGGCGGGUCUUUAAGUCAGGGGUGAAAUCCUGGAGCUCAACUCCAGAACUGCCUUUGAAACUGUCUGGCUUGAGGCCGGGAGAGGGUAGCGGAAUUCCCAGUGUAGCGGUGAAAUGCGUAGAUAUUGGGAGGAACACCAGUGGCGAAGGCGGCUACCUGGACCGGUUCUGACGCUGAGGCGCGAAAGCGUGGGUAGCAAACAGG